rnacentral:rRNA from 1 species
UACGAAUGGAGCGAGCGUUGUUCGGAAUCACUGGGCGUAAAGCGUGCGCAGGCGGUCGUAAAAGUUAGAAGUGAAAGCCCAGGGCUUAACCUUGGAAUUGCUUUUAAAACUCUACGACUAGAGUACUGGAGGGGUUGGCGGAAUUUCGAGUGUAGCAGUGAAAUGCGUAGAUAUUCGAAGGAACACCGAUGGCGUAGGCAGCCAACUGGACAGUAACUGACGCUCAUGCACGAAAGUAUGGGGAGCAAAC